AUACGGAGGGUGCAAGCGUUGUUCGGAAUUAUUGGGCGUAAAGCGCGUGUAGGCGGUUUCUUAAGUCUGAUGUGAAAAGCCCCGGGCUCAACCUGGGAAGUGCAUUGGAAACUGGGGGACUUGAGUACGGGAGAGGGUAGUGGAAUUCCUAGUGUAGGAGUGAAAUCCGUAGAUAUUAGGAGGAACACCGGUGGCGAAGGCGGCUACCUGGACCGAUACUGACGCUGAGACGCGAAAGCGGUGGGGAGC
rnacentral:rRNA from 1 species